rnacentral:rRNA from 1 species
UACGGGGGGGAGCAAGCGUUGUUCGGAAUCACUGGGCGUAAAGGGAGUCUAGGCGGUUUGGUAAGUGGGAUGUGAAAUCCCCGGGCUCACCCCGGGACCUGCAUCCCAAACUGCUGAGCUUGAGUACAGGAGAGGGUGGGGGGAAUUCCAGGUGUAGCGGUGAAAUGCGUAGAUAUCUGGAGGAACACCGGUGGCGAAGGCGCCCACCUGGCCUGCUACUGACGCUGAAGCUCGAAAGCUAGGGGAGCAAACGGG